UGUCCCAGAAAUACGAGUUUUAAACAGGUUUCUGGAUUUUUCACAAAUCCCCAGAGCGAGUGCAGUGGUAAACCAAGACAUCAUCGUGACUUACAAGAGAAAGUCUUCUUGACACAAGCUGCUCGAAUUUCUGGAGUGGUGGUUGUAUGGUGACGUCUCAUGACGCUGAGAAGUUUCUGCAGUGGAUCCUGCAUCCCUUGAACUACCCUCCCUGACCGGUUGAACUCUGUAUGCACCAAUUCACCUCCCUGCUCAUUUAAAAGACCAAACCCAACCUUGAACAUUCGGAGCUGAUCUACGGCAUGGUCUUCCAAAAGAUGCAUUUUGGGACUGAUGUUUGCCUUGGGGAAGUGGGCCCUGAAACACCGCAUGAAGUUUUUGAUGCUGAUGUCUGCAGAUAAGUUGGUGUUGUAGUUCCUGCUGCCUCCUUACUUCUGCAACUACUGCUUGGUCGAAGUUAAAUUCAUCAUCAUCAUCAUCUUCAUCUGCUCCCUCUACUCGCAGCUUGAACAACCUGACGUCUAGGCUGUGGCAAUCGGACUCCAGGAGGUCAUAGAUCUUCUUGAAGAUGCCGAGCGAAAUGUGGAGACUGGGCAGGAUUACCUUCAAAACACAUGGUGAAGUACUUACUCCUCAAGUCCGUCCAGAUAAUCCAGCAC